rnacentral:rRNA from 1 species
AUUGAACGCUGGCGGCGUGCCUAACACAUGCAAGUCGAGCGGAGCGGCGGACGAGUGGGUAAUGCCUAGGAAUCUGCCUGUUAGUAGGGGAUACCUUCCGGAAACGGGCGCUAAUGCCGCAUACUUGCAGAUGGGCCUAGGGCGGAUUCGCUAGUUGGUGGGGUAAAGGCCUACCAAGGCGACGAUCCAUAGCUGGUCUGAGAGGAUGAUCAGUCACACUGGAACUGAGACACGGUCCAGACUCCUACGGGAGGCAGCAGUGGGGAAUAUUGGACAAUGGGCGAAAGCCUGACCCAGCAAUGCCGCGUGUGUGAAGAAGGUCUUCGGAUUGUAAAGCACUUUAAGUUGGGAGGCGUUACCAACAGAAUAAGCAACGGCUAACUUCGUGCCAGCCGCCGCGGUAAUAC